rnacentral:rRNA from 1 species
GUGGGGAAUCUUGCGCAAUGGGCGAAAGCCUGACGCAGCCAUGCCGCGUGAAUGAUGAAGGUCUUAGGAUUGUAAAAUUCUUUCACCGGGGACGAUAAUGACGGUACCCGGAGAAGAAGCUCCGGCUAACUUCGUGCCAGCAGCCGCGGUAAUACGAAGGGGGCUAGCGUUGCUCGGAAUUACUGGGCGUAAAGGGCGCGUAGGCGGACAGCUUAGUCAGAGGUGAAAGCCCAGGGCUCAACCUUGGAAUUGCCUUUGAUACUGGCUGUCUUGAGUUUGGGAGAGGUGAGUGGAACUCCGAGUGUAGAGGUGAAAUUCGUAGAUAUUCGGAAGAACACCAGUGGCGAAGGCGACUCACUGGCCCAAUUCUGACGCUGAGGCGCGAAAGCGUGGGGAGCAAACAGGAUUAGAAACCCGUGUAGUCC